AGUUUGAUCCGGGCUCAGGAUGAACGCUGGCGGCGUGCCUAAUACAUGCAAGUCGAGCGGUAAGGCCCUUCGGGGUACACGAGCGGCGGACGGCUGAGUAACACGUAGGAACGUACCCCAAAGUGAGGGAUAAGCACCAGAAAUGGUGUCUAAUACCGCAUGUGCUCUAAGGAGUAAAGCUCCGGCGCUUUGGGAACGGCCUGCGCAUGAUUAGCUAGAUGGUGAGGUAAUGGCUCACCAUGGCGACGAUCAUUAGCUGGUCUGAGAGGAUGAUCAGCCAGACUGGGACUGAGACACGGCCCAGACUCCUACGGGAGGCAGCAGUAGGGAAUUUUCCACAAUGGGCGAAAGCCUGAUGGAGCAACGCCGCGUGCAGGAUGAAUGCCUCCGGGUUGUAAACUGCUUUUAUAUGUGACGAAUAUGACGGUAGCAUAUGAAUAAGGAUCGGCUAACUCCGUGCCAGCAGCCGCGGUCAUACGGAGGAUCCAAGCGUUAUCCGGAAUUACUGGGCGUAAAGAGUUGCGUAGGCGGCAUAGUAAGCAGAUAGUGAAAGCGUGUGGCUCAACCAUACUCACAUUAUCUGAACUGCUAAGCUAGAGGACGAGAGAGGUCACUGGAAUUCCUAGUGUAGGAGUGAAAUCCGUAGAUAUUAGGAGGAACACCAAUGGCGUAGGCAGGUGACUGGCUCGUUCCUGACGCUCAGGCACGAAAGCGUGGGGAGCAAACGGGAUUAGAUACCCCGGUAGUCCACGCCGUAAACGAUGGAUGCUAGCUGUUAGAGGUAUCGACCCCUCUAGUAGCGAAGCUAACGCGUUAAGCAUCCCGCCUG
rnacentral:rRNA from 1 species